GAUCUUCGUCGAGCGACUCCAGGAGAGUCUA
rnacentral:sRNA from 1 species